rnacentral:rRNA from 1 species
CCUACGGGACGCAGCAGUGGGGGAUAUUGCACAAUGGGGGAAACCCUGAUGCAGCGACGCCGCGUGUGGGAAGACGGUCCUCUGGAUUGUAAACCACUGUCCCCAGGGACGAAAAUGACGGUACCUGGGGAGGAAGCUCCGGCUAACUACGUGCCAGCAGCCGCGGUAAUACGUAGGGAGCGAGCGUUGUCCGGAAUUACUGGGUGUAAAGGGAGCGUAGACGGCGGCGCAAGUCCGGAGUGAAAGCCCACGGCCCAACCGUGGGACUGCUCUGGAAACUGUGCGGCUUGAGUGCGGGAGGGGCG